rnacentral:rRNA from 1 species
GUGCUAAUACCGUAUAAGCUCACGCCGAGUAGGUAGGUGUGAGAAAAGGUUUAACUGCUUGGGGAGGGGGGCGUGCGGCCCGACUCAGGUAGUUGGUGAGGUAACGGCUCACCAAGCCGACGACGGGUAGGGGGUCUGAGAGGAUGGCCCCCCACACUGGGACUGAGACACGGCCCAGACUCCUACGGGAGGCAGCAGUGAGGGAUAUUGCGCAAUGGGGAAACCCUGACGCAGCGACGCCGCGUGGGUGAUGAAGGCCUUCGGGUCGUAAAACCCUUUUGCCACUGACGAGGAAGGACGGUAGGUGGCGAAUAAGCCUCGGCUAACUACGUG